AUGGGCCGCCGCGGAGGGCUCCUCUUCCUCCUGCUGCGGCUGCUCCUGCUCCUCCCCGCCGCCGCCUCCGCGCUCCACGCAAACAUACAGCCUAGUCCAUCGCCACAUCCAUCAAAUCCCCCUGAAGCAAGAGUGUUUGGACCUCGAAUUUCCCCGGCAUUUUCUCCUGCGGAACUGUCUCCAAGAUCUCCUGGCAUCGCUGUGCAUUCACACAAACACCACAGACGCCGACACCAUGCCCCUCCGCCAUCCCUAUCUCUCCCACCUGAAGCAGGUUGCUCUAGCACUGUUUGUACUGAGCCAUUGAGUUCAACACCGAUCGGUUCCCCCUGUGGCUGUGUGCUGCCCCUUAGUGUUAUUGUUGACAUUGCUGUAGCUCCAUAUUUACUAUUCAUGCACACAGCAGAAUUGGAAGUUGAAGUUGCAGCUGGCACAUUUCUUAAACAGAGUCAAGUGAAGAUUAUGGCUGCUAUUCCAAGUGUCCAAGAUGACCAGAAGACAAGAGUCACCUUUUAUUUGGUGCCACUAAGAGAACAUUUUGAUCGCUAUACUGCAUCCCUAAUAUCGGAUAGGUUCUGGAAUAAAAAGGUUCAGAUUAAUUCAUCUGUUUUUGGAGCUUACGAGGUUAUAAAUAUUACCUAUCCAGGGCUGGGACCUGCACCACCAGCUAUGUCAUCUCUUACGUCAGGUCCUCCAGGAAAUGGAGAAUAUCCUAUAACCGCAGAUGUGCACCAUCAGAAGAAGAAAUUAGAUAGCUGGAUCAUCGUGGUAGUUGCAGGGUCCUCUCUGGUACUAAUCAUGGGAUGCAUUGCGCUUAUUAUUUUAAUAGUAAAAUUGAAGAGAUUUAAGCGCUUUCAUGAAGCUGGGAACCCUGUGAUCACCCCGUCAGUUAAAAGAAGACAUGGUGGCAGAUCUCAGUCAACUAGCUUGGUGAGCUCUGCCUCAGCGUCAAUGCUCUCAACAGUGGCCACUUGUGCCGCAUCGGUGAAGACAUUUUCGCUUGCACAGCUUGAAAAGGCUACUGAUGGUUUUAGUUCAAGAAGAGUUUUGGGUCAAGGUGGGUUUGGACGUGUUUAUCACGGGACCAUGGAUGAUGGAAACGAGAUCGCUGUUAAAAUGCUCACAAGAGAGGACAGGAGUGGUGACCGUGAGUUCAUCGCGGAGGUGGAAAUGCUCAGUCGAUUGCACCAUCGUAAUCUCGUCAAAUUGAUUGGCAUUUGCACUGAACGUGGAAAAAGGUGUCUUGUUUACGAGCUUAUACGCAACGGAAGUGUGGAAUCCCAUCUUCAUGGUGCUGACAAGGAUAAGGGCAUGCUGAACUGGGAUGUCAGGAUGAAAAUUGCUUUGGGUGCUGCUAGAGGCCUGGCGUACCUACAUGAAGAUUCAAACCCACAUGUCAUACACCGCGACUUCAAAGGUAGCAAUAUAUUGCUGGAGGAUGAUUUCACUCCCAAGGUUACUGAUUUUGGUUUAGCAAGGGAAGCAACCAAUGGAAUCAAUCCCAUUUCCACAAGGGUAAUGGGGACUUUCGGGUAUGUUGCUCCAGAGUAUGCCAUGACAGGGCAUCUUCUUGUCAAGAGCGAUGUCUACAGUUAUGGGGUUGUCUUGCUGGAGCUUUUAUCAGGAAGGAAGCCCGUAGGCAUGUCGGACAACAUGGAUCCUGAGAACCUUGUGACUUGGGCUCGUCCUCUUCUAGGCAAUAGAGAGGGCUUGGAGAGGCUGAUCGACCCUUCUCUGAACGGCAACUACAAUUUCGACAACGUAGCCAAAGUGGCGUCCAUCGCUUCGGUGUGCGUUCACAGCGAUCCGUCACAGAGGCCAUUCAUGGGUGAAGUAGUCCAGGCACUGAAGCUGAUUUACAAUGACGCAGAGGAGGCCGUCGGUGAUUCCUACAGCCACAGGGAGUCAUCAUGUGACCCGGACGACGACCUCCCGGCGGGCUUCAUCUUUGACAGUGGUAGCGGUAGCUGGUGGAACAGCGGGGCCUCCGGGUGCCUGGACUACCGGAACCCCUCGCCAUUCAUAAACAUGGAGUACAGCUCCGGCCGAAUAGAAGCGAGGCAGGAGCGCGAAGGUGACCCUUACUCAGUAGUGUCGACGGGCGGCCGUGUACAAAAACCAGCACCCCAGAGUAGAUCAGCCCCUCUGCAAAUCAGGAAGCUCUCCCCGUCUCACUGGUCAAGAGGCAGCUUCAGCGAGCAUGGGCGGCGGCCUCGCCAUUGA
rnacentral:rRNA from 1 species